GACGAACGCUGGCGGCGUGCUUAACACAUGCAAGUCGAACGGAAAGGCCCUGCUUUUGUGGGGUGCUCGAGUGGCGAACGGGUGAGUAACACGUGAGUAACCUGCCCUUGACUUUGGGAUAACUUCAGGAAACUGGGGCUAAUACCGGAUAGGAGCUCCUGCUGCAUGGUGGGGGUUGGAAAGUUUCGGCGGUUGGGGAUGGACUCGCGGCUUAUCAGCUUGUUGGUGGGGUAGUGGCUUACCAAGGCUUUGACGGGUAGCCGGCCUGAGAGGGUGACCGGCCACUUUGGGACGGAGAUACGGCCCAGACUCCUACGGGAGGCAGCAGUGGGGAAUAUUGCACAAUGGGCGGAAGCCUGAGGCAGCAACGCCGCGUGCGGGAUGACGGCCUUCGGGUUGUAAACCGCUUUCGCCUGUGACGAAGCGUGAGUGACGGUAAUGGGUAAAGAAGCACCGGCUAACUACGUG
rnacentral:rRNA from 1 species